rnacentral:rRNA from 1 species
AGCGCAGGCGGGAAGACAAGUUGGAAGUGAAAUCCAUGGGCUCAACCCAUGAACUACUUUCAAAACUGUUUUUCUUGAGUAGUGCAGAGGUAGGCGGAAUUCCCGGUGUAGCGGUGGAAUGCGUAGAUAUCGGGAGGAACACCAGUGGCGAAGGCGGCCUACUGGGCACCAACUGACGCUGAGGCUCGAAAGUGUGGGUAGCAAACAG